rnacentral:rRNA from 1 species
AACGAACGCUGGCGGCGUGCCUAAUACAUGCAAGUUGAGCGCUGAAGGUUGGUACUUGUACCGACUGGAUGAGCAGCGAACGGGUGAGUAACGCGUGGGGAAUCUGCCUUUGAGCGGGGGACAACAUUUGGAAACGAAUGCUAAUACCGCAUAAAAACUUUAAACACAAGUUUUAAGUUUGAAAGAUGCAAUUGCAUCACUCAAAGAUGAUCCCGCGUUGUAUUAGCUAGUUGGUGAGGUAAAGGCUCACCAAGGCGAUGAUACAUAGCCGACCUGGGAGGGUGAUCGGCCACAUUGGGACUGAGACACGGCCCAAACUCCUACGGGAGGCAGCAGUAGGGAAUCUUCGGCAAUGGACGAAAGUCUGACCGAGCAACGCCGCGUGAGUGAAGAAGGUUUUCGGAUCGUAAAACUCUGUUGGUAGAGAAGAACGUUGGUGAGAGUGGAAAGCUCAUCAAGUGACGGUAACUACCCAGAAAGGGACGGCUAACUACGUG